AUGAACGCUGGCGGCGUGCCUCAUCCCUGCCAGUCGCACGGGGAGUAGCAAUACUCUUAGUGGCGAACGGGUGAGUAACGCGUUGGUACCUGCCCCGAAGCGGGGGAUAACGGACCGAAAGGUCCGCUAAUACCCCAUGUGCUCGGUAACGAGUAAAGGUGAAAACCACUUUGGGAGGGGCCUGCGUCCCAUCAGCUAGUUGGUAAGGUAACGGCUUACCAAGGCGAUGACGGGUAGGGGACCUGAGAGGGUGGCCCCCCACAAUGGAACUGAAACACGGUCCAUACCCCUACGGGUGGCAGCAGUAGGGAAUAUUGGGAAUGGGCGCAAGCCUGAACCAGCAACGCCGCGUGUGCGAUGACGGCCUUCGGGUUGUAAAGCACUUUUGACUGGGACGAGGAAGGACGGUACCGGUCGAAUCAGCCUCGGCUAACUACGUG
rnacentral:rRNA from 1 species